GAUGAACGCUAGCGGCAGGCUUAAUACAUGCAAGUCGAACGGAUCCUUCGGGAUUAGUGGCGGACGGGUGAGUAACGCGUGGGAACAUACCCUUUGGUACGGAAUAGCCUCGGGAAACUGGGAGUAAUACCGUAUGUGGUCGAGAGACGAAAGAUUUAUCGCCAAAGGAUUGGCCCGCGUUGGAUUAGGUAGUUGGUGGGGUAAUGGCCUACCAAGCCGACGAUCCAUAGCUGGUUUGAGAGGAUGAUCAGCCACACUGGGACUGAGACACGGCCCAGACUCCUACGGGAGGCAGCAGUGGGGAAUCUUAGACAAUGGGGGAAACCCUGAUCUAGCCAUGCCGCGUGAUCGAUGAAGGCCUUAGGGUUGUAAAGAUCUUUCAGGUGGGAAGAUAAUGACUGUACCACCAGAAGAAGCCCCGGCUAACUCCGUGCCAGCCGCCGCCGUAACAC
rnacentral:rRNA from 1 species